ACUCAAGAGCAGAAGCAGCGAGGUCCACGAUGGGAAAAAUGAAUCCAGCAGUCCCUCCUAACUUGUACCCACCUGAGUGCAGGAAGAGACCUCAUACAAAGCAAGAAUGCAUUUGGGCUUGUGGCUCUUUUUAACCAUAUUUAAUCCAAUUCAGAGUUAAUGGUGAGCUCAGUGAAACUGGCCUAAGCAUUGCUGAAGAAGGGAAGAACAGAGUUGGAAGGCAGGAGCUAUUUCAAAGCAGGAUUCUUCUUUCUGUAACACUCAAACAUGGAAACUUUACAAACUUCAUUAGAUCCUGCCAUCAAUGACUGAGCUUCCCUGAAAUCUUCUUAUCAGUUACAGAUGAGAAGGGUAACAAGAAGGAGGAGUGCUUAAGUGGUUUUAAUGACAGUUAUUUUCAUCUAUUUAUCAAAUGACGGGUUGUCUUUUUUCCCUCAAAACUUGAUUGUCAUGACAAAAUGCUUUUGGAAGUCAUCUGUGUGAAAUAAAACUGACAAUUUUGGGGCUACAAAGA